rnacentral:rRNA from 1 species
UACGUAGGGUGCAAGCGUUAAUCGGAAUUACUGGGCGUAAAGCGUGCGCAGGCGGCUUUGCAAGACAGAUGUGAAAUCCCCGGGCUUAACCUGGGAACUGCAUUUGUGACUGCAUGGCUAGAGUGCGGCAGAGGGGGAUGGAAUUCCGCGUGUAGCAGUGAAAUGCGCAGAUAUGCGGAGGAACACCGAUGGCGAAGGCAAUCCCCUGGGCCUGCACUGACGCUCAUGCACGAAAGCGUGGGGAGCAAACAGG